GAUGAAGAACGUAGCGAAUCGCGAUAAGUAAUGUGAAUUGCAGAUUUUCCGUGAAUCAUCGAAUCUUUGAACGCACCUUGCGCUCCUUGGUAUUCCGAGGAGCAUGCCUGUUUGAGUGUCAUCGAAACCUCGGAUCGACGCUUCGACCCCGUCGAAGCUCGGUUCGGACUGUGGGAGUCUGCCGGCGAAGCGUGACUUCGUCGACUCUCCUCAAAAGCAUUAGCUGUGGGUGGCGAGCCUGGCAUGGCACGGCCUGUUCGACGUCGUAGUGAUCGUCGCGGGCUGGAAGUGUAUGGCUCGACGUGACCCAUGCUUCUCGAGUCUUGCGAGCCCGUCCCUCUGUGGGACGGCCGCGCCCCAUCGAAGCUUGACCUCAAAUCAGGUAGGACUACCCGCCGAACUUAAGCAUAUCAAUAAGCGGAGGA
rnacentral:misc_RNA from 1 species